rnacentral:lncRNA from 1 species
AAAAGGAGGCACUGGCAGGAAAUGAAGGCAGGGCAAGUCACACUCCUUUCUGAAGGGACGGUGGCCUUGGAGGCAGGAAAAACAUUAUAGGAAUCUCUUCACCGUUAAACUCCUAAUGGCACUGAAAGGAUUCCAUGUGUGUGCACAGUUGGUAUUUAUCCAGCUUUGGACUUAACAGUAGACAAAGAAACAUUGGGAGUGACCCUAAGGAGAAUCACAUGGACAGCCACAACCGUACAAGAUCUUGAAGUUAUUAAGUGGAGCAGUUGUCUCCAAGCUUGAGGAGUACAGCAUCUCAGGGAAAAGGGAGACCAAACCAUUUCAUUCUCACGGGAGAGCACAUGGCAAAAGACUUGAAAUGCACCGCGAGGAACUUAAUAGAGAAAUCAAGAUAUGACAUUGGAUUGAAUGUUCACCAGGUUCCAGAGCUGGCACAGAUCCCUUCCCAGAGGUCUCCGGGAUGUAUCGUUAACAGCAUUCAAGGGGGACCUUGGGGCGUAAACACUGCUGAUUGUGAUGCAGCUGCAAAGAGUGAGUGAGACACAUGCGCAGAGCCCUGGAUGGAAGCAUGUCAGCAGCUCAGGUCCCAUCACCAAGGGGCCUGGCUUAAUGUCACAUUUUCUUUAAUCUCCGUAGCCCAUAGACUUGAUUGGCUCUCGACAUUAUACUUCCUUCUGUUUUGAUAUUAAAC